UACGUAGGGGGCGAGCGUUGUCCGAAGUUACUGGGCGUAAAGCGCGCGUAGGCGGUCUAUUAAGUCUGAGGUGAAAGGUUCAACGCUCAACGUGAACAGUGCCUUGGAUACUGGUAGACUUGAGUGUGGCAGAGGAGUAUGGAAUUCCUGGUGUAGCGGUGAAAUGCGUAGAUAUCAGGAGGAACACCAAUAGCGAAGGCAGCUCGCUGGGACGGUACUGACACUGAGACGCGAAAGCGUGGGGAGCAAACAGG
rnacentral:rRNA from 1 species